rnacentral:rRNA from 1 species
UACGGGGGGGGGCAAGCGUUUGUUCGGAAUUACUGGGCGUAAAGGGCUCGUAGGCGGCCAACUAAGUCAGACGUGAAAUCCCUCGGCUUAACCGGGGAACUGCGUCUGAUACUGGAUGGCUUGAGUGUGGGAGAGGGAUGCGGAAUUCCAGGUGUAGCGGUGAAAUGCGUAGAUAUCUGGAGGAACACCGGUGGCGAAGGCGGCAUCCUGGACUACUACUGACGCUGAGUGAGCGAAAGCUAGGGGAGCAAACAGG